rnacentral:tRNA from 1 species
GCGGACAUAACUCAGUGGUAGAGUACGAGCUUCCCAAGCUCGAGGUCGCGGGUUCGAAUCCCGUUGUCCGCU